rnacentral:rRNA from 1 species
UACUAGAGUAGCACUCGCAUAUCAAUAAGCGGAGGAAAAGAAACUAACAAGGAUUCCCCUAGUAACGGCGAGUGAAGCGGGAAGAGCUCAAAUUUGAAAUCUUAAAGGGUUUCCCUUUACGAAUUGUAGUUUAAAGAAGUGUUUUCUGUUGAGGUUUUGGUAAAAGCUCUUUGGAAUAGGACAUCAUAGAGGGUGAGAAUCCCGUAUUUGACCUUUACUUUCAACUUUGUGAUACACUUUCAAAGAGUCGGAUUGUUUGGGAAUGCAGUCCAAAAUGGGUGGUAAAUUUCAUCUAAAGCUAAAUAUUGGCGAGAGACCGAUAGCGAACAAGUACCGUGAGGGAAAGAUGAAAAGAACUUUGAAAAGAGAGUUAAACAGUACGUGAAAUUGUCAAAAGGGAAGCGUUUGACACCAGUGUUGUCUUUCUGAAAAUCAAUUAAAGAACUGUUUAUGCUAAGUUGUUUAGACUUUAUCAGCUAACUGUUUAGUUUUGAGCUUUUCUUUAAUGCACUUUUCAGUUAACAAGUCAACAUCAAUUUCUUUUGCUGUAAAAAAGCUUGAGGAAGGUGGCUUGAGAUUCGUCUUAAGUGUUUAUAGCCUCUUGCCUAUGCAGUCGGAGAGAUUGAGGUCUGCAGCGUAGAUCCUUCGGGGCUAAGUGCAUUUGUGCUAAGUUAUAGCAUUUUAUAGACAACUUGUUGACUAUGAUUUGUCUUGUAGCUUACUCGCUUAUGUUAUUUUACCUACGCUUAGGAUGUUGAGCGCAUGUCUCUCUCU